GAAAGAGCCAUACUCUAAGCCCUUCCCCACAAGAAACUCUGGCAGGUCACUGCCGCAAAAAGACUUAUGGAAGUUGUCCCACAAGGAUGGUGUAAUAUUGUGUGACUCAUGAGGCUGGAACAAAUGCAAUCCCUCCCCAAACUUCAGGUAGCCCUCACUGUCUAUUUUUCUGGGUUGAACUUGAAUCCAGCUGCGGGUUCUCUAUGAAAUCAGUUGUUUCCAUGCCAGAAGCCUCUUCCUGCUAAGUGAAAUAAGCAAAAAAUACAAAUUAGAACCAUUAAAACUCAUCAUCUUUCCUGCCCGCAUUUCUUGGGAACUGGCUCCAGGCUCUUUGUUAGUAAGGUUUCCCUCAUGAUGGACUUGGGACACAUAUCACCUCUUGGCCAUUUCUCCUGAGCCUCCCUCCUGGUCAUCCCUGGCCCCACCCACAUCCCUUCCUGUCCCUGUGAAUUUGAUUCAGUACUGACUACGGCCUGAGCUUGUGGGUUACACUGGGCAAUCCCUCCAUUGUCCCUUAAAGCUCUUGGCACAACCACAAGAUUUUUAUUUGCUUGAUGUCUGUCUUUUGCUUAGUAUCUUGGGACAGGCAGCCCCAGGGCUUCCCCCUACUAUAUCUGCAGGGAUGGACUUCCCUUUCCUCCAGCGAUCCUGGGAGCCCCUCUCCUUAUCCGGCUGCGUUUUCAUCUUCUUGUGUGUCCUCCUUUUGUAGGAGACUUUUCAGGCACCUGAGCCAUCUGGCACUUUUAGAGUACUCUUAAAGAGGUAGUGGACUCUAUCUUCCUCUCAAAAAAAGCUCCCAGAGUGAUUCAGCAGUGGGCCCUCAUACUACCAUCAUUGUCCCUAUCAAAAGUGGUCACUGCCCCACUGCCCAAGUGCAAGACGUAAGGCUUGGCACAAAGAGAAUUAACAGUCCGGUCUGGGCCCGUCCUGAAACUGGACCACCCCAGGAAAGGCUGAACCAGGGAGCCAUGGAGUGACGUUGCACAGGCAUAACCAAGUACAUGAGGCAUGUCUGAAUAGCUGGUGCCUUCUUAAAGAAUGCUAUUUGCUUGGGUGGGGGUGGGAGAGUUUGACCAGAGCAUAUGGCAGAAAGUGAGGUCCCACAGUUCUAAUGCGAUCUAUUCCAAGGCUCAGAGGUUAGGGUGAACUAAACUGCAUGAGACAAGCAGA
rnacentral:lncRNA from 1 species